rnacentral:rRNA from 1 species
UACGUAGGGGGCUAGCGUUGUCCGGAAUCAUUGGGCGUAAAGAGCGUGUAGGCGGUCCGGUAAGUCCGCUGUGAAAGUCGGGGGCUCAACCCUCGAAUGCCGGUGGAUACUGUCGGGCUAGAGUACAGAAGGGGCAACUGGAAUUCUCGGUGUAGCGGUGAAAUGCGUAGAUAUCGAGAGGAACACCUGCGGCGAAGGCGGGUUGCUGGGCUGAUGACUGACGCUGAGGCGCGAAAGCCAGGGGAGCGAACGGGA